AACGAACGCUGGCGGCAGGCCUAACACAUGCAAGUCGAGCGCCCCGCAAGGGGAGCGGCAGACGGGUGAGUAACGCGUGGGAACGUGCCCUUUGGUUCGGAACAACUCCGGGAAACUGGAGCUAAUACCGGAUAAGCCCUUCGGGGGAAAGAUUUAUCGCCAAAGGAUCGGCCCGCGUCUGAUUAGCUAGUUGGUGAGGUAAUGGCUCACCAAGGCGACGAUCAGUAGCUGGUCUGAGAGGAUGAUCAGCCACACUGGGACUGAGAAACGGCCCAGACUCCUACGGGAGGCAGCAGUGGGGAAUAUUGGACAAUGGGCGAAAGCCUGAUCCAGCCAUGCCGCGUGAGUGAUGAAGGCCUUAGGGUUGUAAAGCUCUUUUGUCCGGGAAGAUAAUGACUGUACCGGAAGAAUAAGCCCCGGCUAACUUCGUGCCAGCCGCCGCAGUAAGAC
rnacentral:rRNA from 1 species